UGCUGAGUGGAGAUCAUGAAGGAGGAGGAACCUUGAGGAAGGUGGAAUAAGAGGCUCACCAUGAAGAAGAAGGAUCCUGGGGAGAGAGAAUCACUGCUGUGAGGUGAGAAGAGUGUGCUGAAUAAGCUCAUGAUUUCUGCCGAUCACGCAGGCUUCUUCAGGACAACAGCCAAGGACAGCAGAGCUGCCUCUGGGGACCAAUGGACUGACUGAGGAAAACAUCAGUGAAAUGGUUCUCCACGAAGGAAGGAGGCUUUUUGGUCCUGUAGGCGGGAGUGCCUGGGAUCCGGGCCCCUCUGAUGGAACUGAUGUAAGGCAGAAGGGGAGGCUCCCGCACCACCAACGCAGUGCCCUUAGGAGUGUAGGCUCG